GAUGAACGCUGGCGGCGUGCCUAAUACAUGCAAGUCGAGCGAACGGACGUGAAGCUUGCUUCUCUGAUGUUAGCGGCGGACGGGUGAGUAACACGUGGAUAACCUACCUAUAAGACUGGGAUAACUUCGGGAAACCGGAGCUAAUACCGGAUAAUAUUUUGAACCGCAUGGUUCAAAAGUGAAAGACGGUCUUGCUGUCACUUAUAGAUGGAUCCGCGCUGCAUUAGCUAGUUGGUAAGGUAACGGCUUACCAAGGCAACGAUGCAUAGCCGACCUGAGAGGGUGAUCGGCCACACUGGAACUGAGACACGGUCCAGACUCCUACGGGAGGCAGCAGUAGGGAAUCUUCCGCAAUGGGCGAAAGCCUGACGGAGCAGCGCCGCGUGAGUGAUGAAGGUCUUCGGAUCGUAAAACUCUGUUAUUAGGGAAGAACAUAUGUGUAAGUAACUGUGCACAUCUUGACGGUACCUAAUCAGAAAGCCACGGCUAACUACGUG
rnacentral:rRNA from 1 species